GGAGCGGUAGUUCAGUUGGUUAGAAUGCCGGCCUGUCACGCCGGAGGUCGCGGGUUCGAGUCCCGUCCGCUCCG
rfam:Alkalilimnicola ehrlichii MLHE-1, complete genome.